UGCUCCAGGAGCACCUCCGAGAGCACAGCGGCCCUGGGCUGCCUGGUCAAGGACUACUUCCCCGAACCCGUGACCGUGUCGUGGAACUCAGGCGCCCUGACCAGCGGCGUGCACACCUUCCCGGCUGUCCUACAGUCCUCAGGGCUCUACUCCCUCAGCAGUGCGGUGACCGUGCCCUCCAGCAGCUUGGGCACCCAGACCUACACCUGCAACGUCGUUCAUGAGCCCAGCAACACCAAGGUGGACAAGAGAGUUGGGCUCCCAUGUCGUUCCACGUGCCCACCGUGCCCAGCUGAACUCCUGGGGGGACCGUCCGUCUUCCUCUUCCCCCCAAAACCCAAGGACACCCUCAUGAUUUCCCGGACCCCUGAGGUCACGUGCGUGGUGGUGGACGUGAGCCAGGAAGACCCCGAUGUCAAGUUCAACUGGUACGUGGACGGCGUGGAGGUGCACAAUGCCCAGACGAAGCCACGGGAGGAGCAGUUCAACAGCACGUACCGCGUGGUCAGCGUCCUCACCGUCACGCACCAGGACUGGCUGAGCGGCAAGGAGUACACGUGCAAGGUCUCCAACAAAGGCCUCCCGGCCCCAAGGCAGAAAACCGUCUCCAAAACCAAAGGGCAGCCCCGAGAGCCACAGGUGUACACCCUGCCCCCGCCCCGGGAGGAGCUGACCAAGAACCAGGUCACCCUGACCUGCCUGAUCAAAGGCUUCUACCCCAGCGACAUCGUCGUGGAGUGGGAGAGCAGCGGGCAGCCGGAGAACACCUACAAGACCACCCCGCCCGUGCUGGACUCCGACGGCUCCUACUUCCUCUACAGCAAGCUCACCGUGGACAAGAGCAGGUGGCAGCAGGGGAACGUCUUCUCAUGCUGUACCCACCAGUUCCCAACACUGUCCCCCAUGCUGUCCCCUCCUGUCCCCGACACUGUCCCUGACACUGUCCCCCACGCUGUCACCUGUCCCCAACAGUCACCGACACUUUCCCACCUGUCCCUGUUGCUGUCUCCAACACUCUCCCCACCUCUCCCUGACACUGUGAAGUGGAUCUUCUCCUCGGUGGUGGACCUGAAGCAGACCAUCAUCCCCGACUACAGGAACAUGAUCGGGCAGGGGCCCUAG